AUAAUAAUAAUAAUAAUAUUUAUUUAUAUAUAUAUCAAAAAAAAAUAAUUUUCCCUCCUUUUUUUCUUUCCCUCCCAUUCCCCUCUCUUUUCCUCUUUUCCUUUCCCCUCUCUUUUCCUCUUUUUCCUUCCUUCCUCCCUCUUCCUCUCUCCCUCUCCUUCUUCCCUUCUCCCUCCUUUCCGCCGGUUGCCUCACUUUCCCCGUCGCCUGCGCUCCGCCAAGCUGCCGCCGCUGCCGCCAGCUCCUUUCCUUUCCGCUGCCGCCGACGUCGACCGAAAGUAGGGGGCUGUCAUCGUCGUUCGGCAUCUUGCCGGCGUGUUUUCGGCGAUCCGACGCCGGAAACGAGUUCCUCACCCCCGAAAACCCCGGAAACAGCUCUCCUCCGCCAGAAAAUCCUCGCCGGCAGUCUUGGGAAGUGUCGCCGGAGCAGCAAUUUUCCGUCCACGAUCCGCCGCCUUCCGGCAACUUUCCGGCCAAAACUCUUGUACUUCCGGACUCCCCGCAACUCGAGCUUCGCGUAGGCGCUUCCGGAUUCGAAUUCCGACACCGUUGGCAAGACCGGUUUCCAGACCCCGGUGUUUUUCCGGACGCUAGAAAUAUUUUAAUUUUCACUUGAUAAUCUGUCUGUUUGGCUCGCUCCAACCGAGGCACUGGAGCAGAGCAAAGAGGUCGCCAAAGCUAUUCGUGACUGUUAGUCUUCCCGCGACUCUUAUCUAAUAACCUGACUCCUUCAUCAUUGAGUGAUGUAAUUUAUUUGGCCUACAAAUGGGAGCGAUAGCGGCUAGAUCCAAGAAGCCAUAAGCCGUUGUGACAUAUCAGAUAUCUUUCCAUUGUUUUAACAGUGUUUUCAUUUUCUUUUUUUGUUUUGAAUAAAUUUUUCAUAUUCUUAAUUUAUUUCUUAUAUAAGAGCAUGGAGCAUACAAAAUAUAUAAGCAAAAUGCUUUUUUAGGUGUUUGGACUUUUCAUAUUU